rnacentral:rRNA from 1 species
UACCCGCAGCACAAGUGGUGGUCAUUAUUAUUGGGCCUAAAGCGUCCGUAGGCUGGCUUGUUAGAUGCCUGGGUAAAUCGAUGCGCUCAACGCAUCGAAUUCCGGGUAGACCGGCAAGCUCGGAGCCGGGAGAGGUGUAGGGCUACGUACGCAGGGGUAGGGGUAAAAUCCUGUAAUCCUCGGGGAGGACCAGUGGCGAAAGGCGCU